rnacentral:lncRNA from 1 species
UUGCGGUUCCUCUUAUAACUCGUUUUAUAACGUCUCAGUUUCUAACUAUCCCCAAAUGAAGAUAAACUAUUUUCAUGUUUACCAAUAUGUUAUGUUCAUUUCAGUAGUGAUCGGUUUCUAGAGGAGUUUAAACAUAAGAUCGUACUACUAUUCAAGUUGUUAUGUCAUGUUGGAAACAGUGGAUUCGAUUGACAGUUUGGAUAAAAUUAAGGAGAUGUGGUGUGAUCGCCAAUGGCCUAAAACUAUCCACCCAAGUUCAAAUUAAGUGGAUUUUUAGCAAUUAUGGGGAACCGUUGGACCUUUAAAAUAGGUUAAAGGCCCCAACAUAAAAAGUUUGUAACAAUUCAAUAUCAAAAUAACGGCCUAAAUUUGUUAGUGUGUAAAACAAUAGUUCGAUAUGCCAAACAAAAAAAAAACAA